rnacentral:rRNA from 1 species
GACGAACGCUGGCGGCGUGCCUAACACAUGCAAGUUGAGCGACGAACCAGGGCUUGCCCUGGGGCAAAGCAGCGAACGGGUGAGUAACACGUGGGUAACGUGCCCCGAUAACCGGGACAACCCGAGGAAACUCGGGCUAAUACCGGAUGUGCUCGCCGGACAUCAGUCCGGCGCGUAAAGGAAGCUUCGGCCUCCGUAUCGGGAGCGGCCCGCGGCCCAUUAGCUAGUUGGUGAGGUAACGGCUCACCAAGGCCGCGAUGGGUAGCUGGUCUGAGAGGACGAUCAGCCACACUGGGACUGAGACACGGCCCAGACUCCUACGGGAGGCAGCAGUGGGGAAUUUUGGACAAUGGGGGCAACCCUGAUCCAGCCAUGCCGCGUGAGUGAAGAAGGCC